rnacentral:rRNA from 1 species
AGUGAACGCUGGCGGUAGGCCUAACACAUGCAAGUCGAACGGCAGCACAGUAAGCUCUUGCUCUUACGGGUGGCGAGUGGCGGACGGGUGAGGAAUACAUCGGAAUCUACUUUUUCGUGGGGGAUAACGUAGGGAAACUUACGCUAAUACCGCAUACGACCUACGGCUGAAAGCAGGGGAUCUUCGGACCUUGCGCGAUUGAAUGAGCCGAUGUCGGAUUAGCUAGUUGGCGGGGUAAAGGCCCACCAAGGCGACGAUCCGUAGCUGGUCUGAGAGGAUGAUCAGCCACACUGGAACUGAGACACGGUCCAGACUCCUACGGGAGGCAGCAGUAGGGAAUAUUGGACAAUGGGCGCAAGCCUGAUCCAGCCAUACCGCGUGAGUGAAGAAGGCCUUCGGGUUGUAAAGCCCUUUUGUUGGGAAAGAAAAGCAGCAGGUUAAUACCCCGCUGUUCUGACGGUACCCAAAGAAUAAGCACCGGCUAACUUCGUG